rnacentral:tRNA from 1 species
CAAAAGAUAAGCUAAACAAGCUAAUGGGCUCAUACCUCAUUUAUGAGAGUAAAUCUCUCUCUUUUUA